rnacentral:lncRNA from 1 species
UUUUUUUAAGCAUUGAGAAAUUAUAAUGGUCCUUGUGAAUAUUUAUUUUCUAGUUCUGCCAAACAUGUCUCUUAUUGAAUUGAGCUGAAUAAAAACAUGUUCUUCCUUCCUCUUACCUACCCCUAAGAAAAGGAAAAGGAAAAGGAAAUUGGAGUGGGAAUCUGUUGUUCCUUUUUAUUCGUUAGCUGAUUAAUUGGGGAAUGUCUCCGUUAUAUCAUGCACUAUUCUAUUUCAUGGCAGUUGUUCCUUAUGCUUCUACACUCAAGCUGCCAGCCGUCAGCUUUAUUCAACAACCUAUAAAAUUUUAUGAUGCAGUGGCUUCAGAAGACUGUAUUCCCCUCCAGAAAGAUGGGCAAAAGAUUUGUUAAUUUACUUUGCAAAACAGAUGA